GAUGAACGCUGGCGGCGUGCCUAAUACAUGCAAGUCGGACGCUUCCUACCGGUGAUUGCACCGGGAAAGAAGAGUGGCGGACGGGUGAGUAACACGUGGGUAACCUACCUACAAGCGGGGGAUAACAUUCGGAAACGGAUGCUAAUACCGCAUAGAUCUUUUUGUCUCCUGGCAGAAAGAAGAAAGACGGUUUCGGCUGUCACUUGUAGAUGGACCCGCGGCGCAUUAGUUAGUUGGUGAGGUAAUGGCUCACCAAGACGAUGAUGCGUAGCCGACCUGAGAGGGUGAUCGGCCACACUGGGACUGAGACACGGCCCAGACUCCUACGGGAGGCAGCAGUAGGGAAUCUUCCGCAAUGGACGAAAGUCUGACGGAGCAACGCCGCGUGAGUGAAGAAGGUUUUCGGAUCGUAAAACUCUGUUGUUAGAGAAGAACAAGGAUGAGAGUAACUGCUCGUCCCUUGACGGUAUCUAACCAGAAAGCCAUGGCUAACUACGUGCCAGCAGCCGCCGUAA
rnacentral:rRNA from 1 species